rnacentral:lncRNA from 1 species
GAGAACUACAAACUAUAAUUCCUCUCAGAUGAUAACAGAAAUAGUGCCCUAUCUUGUCAGAAAUAUGCCAAAAAAAAAAUGGAAGAGAGGUCAAACAGUGUCUAAAAAGGGCUACAGAAAGAAUUGAUGUAACUGUUGCAGGAAAGAGCAUCUGUCUAUCCAAGGAGGGGUCAGACAGUGCAAUGAAAUGUCCCCAUUAUAUUAAUGUAAACAGCUCCUCUCUAAAAUCUCUGAGACGUCCCCUUUAAGGCACAAGUCCUUGGGGGCUGGAGCAACUCAGCCAAGUGUACUGGGGACAUGUGCUCAGCCUUGGGGAAGAGUGCCCCUUGCUGCCUUUUCCCUCUGCCCCCUACCCAGUCCCUGCAUCUUGGGCACCUGAGGCUGGGCAGAGGCCAUGAUGUCUUCAGCUGGCCAGUUUCCUAGGAGCCUCAAGAAAGUCCAAAUGCAUUAACAAACAAAAGAACUGCAGCUGAAAUGUGACUGAAGGUGACUCAAAGAUGUCUUACCUCUUAAAUAAAUGAAUCAGCCUAAAGGAAGUUUCCUCCCAUGGAAGAUUCAUCGUGAUCAAGCCUGUGUGUAAAAAUGCAAAGAUGACUGCUGUCCUUUUUAAAAAUGGAGGAAAUAAAGUACAUGAAUCAAUCCAUGGGAACACCCUUCUCCAUGGAAGGGACCAAAAAUUCACGUGACUCAAUUGUGGCAAUAAAAGGAGGGUCUUGUCAUUUUAAAGGAAGUUCUUUGUCACCAUUUCCUCUUUUUUCCCGGAUAUCUAUUUUGGGCUUUCUGCUCCAUUCCAGGAACUCUACCACAGCCUGCUGAAUUGUCUGAAACCUCCUUGUGCUUGGUCUGAAAGCUGUCUUCCCCUUCUUGAAGGAUGUCUGUGUGGGAGCUAAGAGGAGGAACCACAGACGCGUCACUGGGAAGAACACACACCCCUGAUCCUGUGGGCUGAGUAAUACAAAGACAGAGUUAAAUUCAGGAAAUGCAAUAAGUUAAUUCACGCCUGUGUCUAAUCCUGCCAGCAAACACACUAUUUAGGCUCUAAAAAAAUGACUGGAGUGGGAAAAAAUUCCCACCAGCCCAAUCCACGAUCAGAGUACGUUUUCUAAGUCUCCCAUCGUGUAUACAGGUGUUUCCCUGGUGGCUCAGAUAGUAAAGAAUCCACCUGCAAUGCAGGAGACCCAGGUUCAAUCCCUGGGUCAUGAAGAGCCCCUGGAGAAGGUACUGGCUACCCAUGCCAUUACUGUUGCCUGGAAAAUCCCACGGACAGAGAAGCCUGGUGGGCUACAGUACAUGGGGUUGCAGAAUUGGAUACAACUGAAGCAACUGAGCACAGCAUGAUCAAAAAAAAAGGUAGAAAAAGAGUUGUGGAGAUAGAUGGUGGUGACGUUUGCACCACAAUAAGAAUGUACUUAAUAUUAUUGGUGGUGUACACUUGACAAUUAAGAUGGUAACUUUUAUGUGUAUUUUAUCAUAAUAAAACAGUGGGAAAAAAAGAUACUGAGGUUCA